rnacentral:rRNA from 1 species
AACGAACGCUGGCGGCAUGCCUAACACAUGCAAGUCGAACGAGACCUUCGGGUCUAGUGGCGCACUGGUGCGUAACGCGUUGGAACCUGCCCUUAGGUUCGGAAUAACUCCCCGAAAGGGGUGCUAAUACCGGAUCAUGUCUUCGGACCAAAGAUUUAUCGCCUUUGGAUGGUCCCGCGUUGGAUUAGCUAGUUGGUAGGGUAAAAGCCUACCAAGGCGACGAUCCAUAGCUGGUCUGAGAGGAUGAUCAGCCACACUGGGACUGAGACACGGCCCAGACUCCUACGGGAGGCAGCAGUGGGGAAUAUUGGACAAUGGGCGAAAGCCUGAUCCAGCAAUGCCGCGUGAGUGAUGAAGGCCUUAGGGUUGUAAAGCUCUUUUACCCGGGAUGAUAAUGACAGUACCGGGAGAAUAAGCUCCGGCUAACUCCGUG